AUUGAACGCUGGCGGCAGGCUUAACACAUGCAAGUCGAGCGAGUGGCGGACGGGUGAGUAAUUUCUGGGAAACUGCCUGAUGGAGGGGUAUAACUACUGGCAACGGUAGCUAAUACCGCAUACCAUCAGAUGUGCCCAGAUGGGAUUAGCUGGUAGGUGGGGUAAUGGCUCACCUAGGCGACGAUCCCUAGCUGGUCUGAGAGGAUGACCAGCCACACUGGAACUGAGACACGGUCCAGACUCCUACGGGAGGCAGCAGUGGGGAAUAUUGCACAAUGGGCGCAAGCCUGAUGCAGCCAUGCCGCGUGGAUGAAGAAGGCCUUCGGGUUGUAAAGCACUUUCAGCGGGGAGGCGUUACCCGCAGAAGAAGCACCGGCUAACUCCGUGCCAGCAGCCGCGGUAAUUC
rnacentral:rRNA from 1 species